UGAAUCCAGGACCAGCGCUUCGGUUUCUCAGUUGAGACCAUCGGAGGGACGACAGACUGACUGCCGACACAGCGGCGGAGAACCGGCGUCAAGUCACACGUCAUACGCAGCAGCACUUCCGGUGACGACUUUCAAAGUUUGGAAAAGCCGAUGUCUGAGGCUGAUUUGUGGACAGCCAGCUCAGCCAGAAGCCCAACCUCACUGCCCCAUCUGCUGGACCAGACACAGCAAUGCACAUGUUGCCUUCAAGGCCUCCUCGCUGCAACUAUUAGAUGUGGAAGGAUGAAGCAAGAUUAAGCUGCUGCACAAAGUAAAGAAGAGGAAGUUUAAAGGAGGAAGUAAGGAACCCUGCAGGCAUGACAUUUAUUCUACUAAAUAAA